AUGUGUGUGUGGGCAUUUUAUCAUAGUGCUCGUAAAGCGCAAAGGCAAAUGCAAAAGAAAAUGUGUAAGAAAGAAAGAUCGGAAGUAAAAUUCAACAUAGAAGUGACAAUAACUGUUAGAAGAUAACGUUAGUUUUGCGGCAGGCCAAAAAUGUUGUGUUUUAUUAUAUUUAUUAAAUCAAUUCAACAACUAAAAUGGUUCAAAGUCCAAGACAAUUGGAACUGUAUGAAAAAAAAACUGUAUCCGUAACGAUGGCACUUGAAAAUGUUUAAACUGCACAUGAGAUUUCCAUAAAUUAUGCGACCUGUCAUUUACAAGGAGCAAAACAAUAUACUGGACAGUUGAAGUCUGAAAUGAAAUGCACACAAAAACGUUGCCGCCAAGUUGCAAGCAGACGCCAAGCCGCAUCCAAGCCGUUCGUUCAUGUGAAGCCUCUGUUUAUGGCGGUUUUCGCACCCGUGGCGCUCGGACGGCGGCUGGCUAACGUGACUUGACCUCGACCUGUCCCGUCUUCUCAUGCUCAGGGCAAUACAACGUUCGAAUAACCAAAUGCUCGGCGUAUUAUUUAUGUGCAUUGAACGCGAAACACUUAGAACUAGACACUAAGCAAUAUCUAUGCAGACGUAGAACUGGGCAGCGAAUAAGCGACAAUAGUCUCCGUGGCUGGGCACGAUUACAUCUUUAUACUCUGAACCGUAUAGAUGUGUAUCGUCUGAUAGCUGCGUGUUAAAUUCCAGCUAAGCCAUGCACCGCGGUCAACAAUUGCAGGCAGCCACAAAGUCACAAAGCCACAAUAUGCGACUUGUGUUAAGUCAACGGGUUUGUCAAACUGCCGACAGAAACACGGCUUCGAUUCGAUUAGACGCCGGCAUGGCACCUUGACAAGCCUGCAAACAUCUUCAAAUGGCAAUUGGCAAUCGAAGAUGAUGACGCUAAUAGUGCCAGAGCUGGUGCUGGUGCUGGUGCCGCCGCUUCUUCUGCUGGAGGUGGCGCUGAAGCUGUGACUGGAGUUGAAGUUACCUAUGUGAGACUCUGUGUUUCUAUGCUGGGCGUGCGCGACUAGACAGUUACCCUGUGCCCAGAAACAGGAACAGGAACUUCCGAAAGCCGAAUAGAGUUGAAGUUAUCUAUGUGAGACUCUGUGUUUCUAUGCUGGGCGUGCGCGACUAGACAGUUACCCUGUGCCCAGGAACAGGAACAGGAACUUCCGCAAGCCGAAUAGAGCUUGGUUUAAUCCUUGAUUUAGAAUUGCCAGCCAUAUUAAGAGGCUCUUUUCUUCUGCUGUGCUGCUGAACAAGGACUAAGGCAAACCCUUAGAUUGUAAUUAAACUAUGCUGAUUAUGCAACUCAAGCAUAUUACAAUUCUCAACUGGUUCACUGGCGCGGGAAUUGCAUCGAUCAGCGCAUCAGAGGAAAAUGUCAAGCACGCUAACCCAGCAGAAGUACAUAAUUAGUCAAUGCAAAAAAGCAGAAAGGCGAAAAGCCACCAGCGCAGCAGACACCUGAACAUGUCAAGGCUUUGAAUAUGUUUGCGGAGGCAAAGCCGAUGUCAAUGGGUUAUGUGUACUACAACUAAGUCAGAGCGCGAGCGCGAUCGCGAUCGCGAUCGGCGUCUAUUUAAGGAGACCGUCGAGGUCAGCUGCUGCUUGUUUGUAGCCAUUGUGAUUGUGGCAGCGAGUACGAGAACGUUGCACGCAACAGCCUCCGCACCGAGACGGGCCGAUGACUAAGGCUAACCACCGGCCACAGGUGAGCAAGCGGCCAAGCGGCCAAGCGACCAAGCGGCUGACUGGACUGACUAGGCCGGCUGACUGUUGGCUUCCUGCUGCUAACACAGACAUCAUUUCAAUUGGCGUACGGCAAAGUUCAAGCAACAAUUGAAUGCGAAAUUUAUUGCGACCGCCGAUAGUCAGUCGAAUUGAAACGAAGUGAAUCGAAUUAAUUUUUUUUUGUUUGUUUUAAAAAAUGUUUCAAAUGGAUUCUCGCUUGAUUAUUAAACGGCCAGUCCGUAAAAGUACACGCUCGCAAUUAUCUGAUAGCGUUCAGUAAUUGUGCAUUGUGUGCGUGCAUUAUAUGCGAUGAGGUUGCGAUCAUAAAUACAACAAUAGCCAGUACUUCCUUAUGGAUAUUCCGGCGCCAAGCCCUGUGGCUCAGCUCGAGCCAUACGUAAAGUUCAGCUUUACUCUGUUGAGGGGCUUCAAAUAAUCGGGAUGCUGUGUGGCGCAGAAGUUAACUACACUAAACUUGAUUUCCUACUGAACAACCUACCUGGAGCAGUCCUCGGCUGAUCUUGGUCUCUUCCACGUUCAACGUCAAUGUUCGAUCCGCUGUCUUGCCGCAGCAAUAGACCGCAUUCAAGACAAACUGAUCGGUGAUCUGGUCACAGCUCUUGAUAUCGAUGCAAGCCAGCUGGGGGCACUUGCGCACCAAACGCAUGAGGCCGACGUCGGUGACCCGGCCACACCAGGACAAGCCGAACAGCUUAAGCCCGGUAAGCUCAUUGAAGAACUUGAAGUGUUCGUCCUCCAGCACAUCAUUGUCGCACCAAUGCAGCUCCGUCAGACUGCUGAGCUGGCCCAGGCAGCGGGCAUGCUGGUUGCUAAUGUCAAACUGUCCUGAUAGCUUAAAAUAUGUCAGCUUGUUGCCCUUCUUUUCGGCCAGAGUGGAGAGGAAGCCCAGGUUGAGCUCGUUGGAGGUCAUCCACGUUUUGAGUGUGCAACGCUGCAAAUUGGGCAACUGGGCAAUGAUCUCGAAGUUGGCAUCACAACCAGAGAAGGACAGUUCCUCGAGCUCCAGACAGCAUUCGGCUAUCUUCUGGUAGAGCGACUGAUUCAUCACCUCGAAGCAACAGUCGUCCAGGACGAGGGUGCGCAGCUUCUUUAGUGGAAUGCCAAACUCACCCGAAUUCCACAGUAAACAGUCGCGCAGCACCAACCUGUGGAGCUUGGAGAAGCCGCACAGAUGUUUGCCUACGGUCGGGUACAAGCAAUCCGUUUAAGCUGGCAUUUCGAAUUUAUCGGCUUACCAGUGUAGCAGCCAUUAAUCAGCUCAAAGGACUCCAGCUCCGUGUUACCGUCCAGAUUCAGACUGAGCACAUCCUCUGCAUCCAGGCAAUCGAUGCUGACACGCCGCAGACCCGUCAGUCGCGACAACAGCGCGCAAUAGCGAAACUCAUCCGUCACGUUGGUGUAGUAGAUCUCUUCCAGAGUCUUGCAGUACUCCGCAAUGAAUUCGACCAGCAGCGACUCCUUCUGAAAGGACGCGCAGUUGACCAACAGCACUUUUAUAUAAGGGCCGGCCAACUUGAAGAAGUCUAUGAUUUCGGGCAGCAUCAUUUGCUCCACAUCCUCUGCCUUCAAUGUGUGCCUGUGCGCCCGCGCCCAGCCCUCGAAGGCGUGCCGGAAUUUGGGCGCCACACACGCUAGUCGCACCUUGUCACACAACGUGGGCAGGUAGGUAAACAGCUGGCGUAUAAUUUCCUCAUGCAGGCACAGAAUGUGGCAGCUGGACGAGCCCUUCUUUUCGGACUGCGCCAGCAAUCCAGAGAUUCCAGACAUGGUUUAGUGUCGUCGGCUCGCUAAACCCUUAACACAUAAAAUUUUCAUUGCUUCCUUCUUGACAGCUCUCGACAAUUGUAAUCAAUCAAAUAAAUAUAUUGGGAGUCUAAAAAACAA